rnacentral:rRNA from 1 species
CUCAGGAUGAACGCUGGCGGCGUGCCUAAUACAUGCAAGUCGAGCGAACAGAUGAGAAGCUUGCUUCUCUGAUGUUAGCGGCGGACGGGUGAGUAACACGUGGGUAACCUACCUAUAAGACUGGGAUAACUCCGGGAAACCGGGGCUAAUACCUGAUAAUAUUUUGAACCGCAUGGUUCAAUAGUGAAAGACGGCUUCGGCUGUCACUUAUAGAUGGACCCGCGCCGUAUUAGCUAGUUGGUAAGGUAAUGGCUUACCAAGGCGACGAUACGUAGCCGACCUGAGAGGGUGAUCGGCCACACUGGAACUGAGACACGGUCCAGACUCCUACGGGAGGCAGCAGUAGGGAAUCUUCCGCAAUGGGCGAAAGCCUGACGGAGCAACGCCGCGUGAGUGAUGAAGGUCUUAGGAUCGUAAAACUCUGUUGUUAGGGAAGAACAAAUUUGUUAGUAACUGAACAAGUCUGACGGUACC